UGGGGAAUAUUGGGCAAUGGGCGAAAGCCUGACCCAGCAACGCCGCGUGAGGGAAGAAGGGUUUCGGCUCGUAAACCUCUGUCCUAUGGGACGAAGGAAGUGACGGUACCAUAGGAGGAAGCCCCGGCUAACUACGUGCCAGCAGCCGCGGUAAUACGUAGGGGGCGAGCGUUGUCCGGAAUGAUUGGGCGUAAAGGGCGCGUAGGCGGCCUGGUAAGUCCGGAGUGAAAGUCCUGCUUUUAAGGUGGGAAUUGCUUUGGAUACUGCUGGGCUUAGGGGGGUC
rnacentral:rRNA from 1 species